GACGGAGGGCGCGAGCGUUGUUCGGAAUCACUGGGCGUAAAGCGCGCGCAGGCGGAGCGUACAAGUCCGAAGUGAAAUCCUGGGGCUCAACUCCGGGGCUGCUUCGGAUACUGUCGCUCUGGAGACAGGUAGAGGCCGGUGGAAUUCCCGGUGUAGCGGUGGAAUGCGUAGAGAUCGGGAAGAACACCUGUGGCGAAGGCGGCCGGCUGGGCCUGGUCUGACGCUGAGGCGCGAAAGCGUGGGGAGCAAACAGGAUUAGAAACCCCCGUAGUCC
rnacentral:rRNA from 1 species